rnacentral:misc_RNA from 1 species
AACGCACAUUGCACCCUCUAGAAUUCUGGGGGGUAUGCCUGUUCGAGCGUCAUUUCAACCCUCAAGCACUGCUUGGUAUUGGAUGUCAUCACUUGUUGGUGCAUCUCAAAAGCAUUAAGUAGUACAUUCAGCUUCUAGUGCAGUAAUUUUCUCGCUUUGGAGUUUUAAAUGUAACUGCUGGAAUCCACAUUUAUUAAUGGUUGACCUCGGAUCAGGUAGGGAUACCCGCUGAACUUAA